rnacentral:rRNA from 1 species
GGCCAGACUCCUACGGGAGGCAGCAGUGAGGAAUAUUGGUCAAUGGGCGGAAGCCUGAACCAGCCAAGUCGCGUGAGGGAAGAAGGCCCUGCGGGUCGCAGACCUCUUUGGACGGGGAGCAAGGCCGCCGACGUGUCGGCGGAAGGAGAGUACCCGUAGAACAAGCAUCGGCUAACUCCGUGCCAGCAGCCGCGGUAAUACGGAGGAUGCGAGCGUUAUCCGGAUUUAUUGGGUUUAAAGGGUGCGCAGGCGGAAUGUCAAGUCAGCGGUAAAAUUUCGGGGCUCAACCCCGUCGUGCCGUUGAAACUGGCGUUCUUGAGUGAGCGAGAAGUAUGCGGAAUGCGUGGUGUAGCGGUGAAAUGCUUAGAUAUCACGAAGAACUCCGAUUGCGAAGGCAGCCUACUAAACUGCCACUGACAUUGAUGCUCGAAAGUGUGGGUAUCAAACAGGAUUAGAUACCCCAGUA